rnacentral:misc_RNA from 1 species
AAAUACCAAAACCAAAAUUAAAUAUACCGAACCAUACCAAGCUAAUUUGUUGUGGUUUUCGGUAUAGUACGCUACAUACCGAAUACUGGAGUUACGGUACCGUAACAUGCCCACCCCUACAGAUCAUUUAACAAACUUUUCUGCAAAUUUCAACUACAAGGAAUAUGUUUAUACAGUGAAUGUUCAGUCAUAUGAAAGUACUCAAGUGUUAACGAAAGGCAUGGUCGUAAUCGUGGAAAUGGAAAUUUUUGUAUAUGAAAUGAGAUAACCAUCUCGAGGCCACGAAGCAUAGUAAUGCAACGGUGACCAAGGAAUACCUUGUCACCGCAGACAAUGUGCCCUGCUUUAAAGCAGCAACAAUUCCAAUGGCACCAAUGGAGACGAUCUGCAGUACGACUUCAAGAGCAUUGAGACUUUUAUAUGCGAGAUUGCAACUUGUGCAACUCACUGUAUGAGUCCAAUACCUGUCCAGCAGCUGCUCCCUUGGAGGAGUUGGCGGGAGGUCUCCAUUGUACUUUCCACGCCAAUCAACUUGACCACCUGCAUAUUUGUUUAGCCACCUUCUAAAAGCAACAACAAUGGCAUCUGCCUUUGUUGGCACAUAGCAAGCUUUA